rnacentral:rRNA from 1 species
CUACGGGGCGCUGCAGUGAGGAAUAUUGCACAAUGGAGGAAACUCUGAUGCAGCAACGCCGCGUGGAGGAUGACGCAUUUCGGUGUGUAAACUCCUUUUAUGAGUCAAGAAAAUGACGGUAGCUCAUGAAUAAGCACCGGCUAACUCCGUGCCAGCAGCCGCGGUAAUACGGAGGGUGCAAGCGUUACUCGGAAUCACUGGGCAUAAAGGACGCGUAGGCGGGAUAUCAAGUCAGGUGUGAAAUCCUACAGCUUAACUGUAGAACUGCACUUGAAACUGGUAACCUAGAGUAUGGGAGGGGGAGAUGGAACUAGUGGUGUAGGGGUAAAAUCCGUAGAUAUCACUAGGAAUACCUAAAGCGAAGGCGAUCUCCUGGAACAUAACUGACGCUAAGGCGUGAAAGCGUGGGGAGCAAACAGGAUUAGAUACCCCGGUAGUC